UACGGAGGGAGCUAGCGUUGUUCGGAAUUACUGGGCGUAAAGCGCACGUAGGCGGCUUUGUAAGUUAGAGGUGAAAGCCCGGGGCUCAACUCCGGAACUGCCUUUAAGACUGCAUCGCUUGAAUCCAGGAGAGGUGAGUGGAAUUCCGAGUGUAGAGGUGAAAUUCGUAGAUAUUCGCAAGAACACCAGUGGCGAAGGCGGCUCACUGGCCCGGUACUGACGCUGAGGCACGAAAGCGUGAGGAGCAAACAGG
rnacentral:rRNA from 1 species